UCAGAAUCGGUAAAAGAGACAAAUAUAUAUUCCUAUGCCUUCAGGUCGAAACAUGACUGAGCCACUGUAGCCGACCGAGUCACUGUUGCCUCCUUGACCCUAUAGA